AAAGACUUGUCGUUACAGAAAUGCCAAGAGGUGGAGCAAACAGCUAGAGAACAAGUCACUGAUAAUGCUAUCUUAGAUCAGAUUUCUAAGACUGUACAAGUUGAUAUACCUCAAUCCUUGUUUGAGGAACAAGGAAGGCAGCUUUAUGGAGCCAACCUAUUAGAAAUACAGG